GUGUAAGAUAGUAAUAAAAGGGUGGCUAAUAGGAAUAAUGUAUGUGUUUUUCUCAUUUUUUGAUUUUGUAUUUUUUUGUUUUUGUUUCUUUUGAUACUU
rnacentral:ribozyme from 1 species